AUUGAACGCUGGCGGCAGGCCUAACACAUGCAAGUCGAACGGUAGCACAGAGAGCUUGCUCUCGGGUGACGAGUGGCGGACGGGUGAGUAAUGUCUGGGAAACUGCCCGAUGGAGGGGGAUAACUACUGGAAACGGUAGCUAAUACCGCAUAACGUCUACGGACCAAAGUGGGGGACCUUUGGGCCUCACACCAUCGGAUGUGCCCAGAUGGGAUUAGCUAGUAGGUGGGGUAAUGGCUCACCUAGGCGACGAUCCCUAGCUGGUCUGAGAGGAUGACCAGCCACACUGGAACUGAGACACGGUCCAGACUCCUACGGGAGGCAGCAGUGGGGAACAUUGCACAAUGGGCGCAAGCCUGAUGCAGCCAUGCCGCGUGUAUGAAGAAGGCCUUCGGGUUGUAAAGUACUUUCAGCGGGGAGGAAGGGUUGCUGGUUAAUAACCAGCGACAUUGACGUUACCCGCAGAAGAAGCACCGGCUAACUCCGUGCCAGCAGCCGCCGUAA
rnacentral:rRNA from 1 species